rnacentral:rRNA from 1 species
CCUACGGGAGGCAGCAGUGGGGAAUAUUGCACAAUGGGCGCAAGCCUGAUGCAGCCAUGCCGCGUGUAUGAAGAAGGCCUUCGGGUUGUAAAGUACUUUCAGCAGUGAGGAAGGCGGAGUCGUUAAUAGCGGCCUCGUUUGACGUUAGCUGCAGAAGAAGCACCGGCUAACUCCGUGCCAGCAGCCGCGGUAAUACGGAGGGUGCGAGCGUUAAUCGGAAUUACUGGGCGUAAAGCGCAUGCAGGUGGUUUGUUAAGUCAGAUGUGAAAGCCCGGGGCUCAACCUCGGAAUUGCAUUUGAAACUGGCAGACUAGAGUACUGUAGAGGGGGUAGAAUUUCAGGUGUAGCGGUGAAAUGCGUAGAGAUCUGAAGGAAUACCGGUGGCGAAGGCGGCCCCCUGGACAGAUACUGACACUCAGAUGCGAAAGCGUGGGGAGCAAACAGGAUUAGAUACCCUGGUAG